AACGCUGGCGGCGGCCUAACAAUGCAAGUCGAACGGUAACAUUUCUAGCUUGCUAGAAGAUGACGAGUGGCGGACGGGUGAGUAAUGCUUGGGGACUUGCCUUUGCGAGGGGGAUAACAGUUGGAAACGACUGCUAAUACCGCAUAAUGUCUUCGGACCAAACGGGGCUUCGGCUCCGGCGCAAAGAGAGGCCCAAGUGAGAUUAGCUAGUUGGUAAGGUAACGGCUUACCAAGGCGACGAUCUCUAGCUGUUCUGAGAGGAAGAUCAGCCACACUGGGACUGAGACACGGCCCAGACUCCUACGGGAGGCAGCAGUGGGGAAUAUUGCACAAUGGGGGGAACCCUGAUGCAGCCAUGCCGCGUGUGUGAAGAAGGCCUUCGGGUUGUAAAGCACUUUCAGUUGUGAGGAAAAGUUAGUAGUUAAUACCUGCUAGCCGUGACGNUUACAACAGAAGAAGCACCGGCUAACUCCGUGCCAGCAGCCGCGGUAAUACGGAGGGUGCGAGCGUUAAUCGGAAUUACU
rnacentral:rRNA from 1 species